UAGAUACCCUGGUAGUCCACGCCCUAAACGAUGUCAACUGGGUGUUCGGGAAGCGAUUCCUGGGUACCGUAGCUAACGCGUGAAGUUGACCGCCUGGGGAGUACGGCCGCAAGGUUAAAACUCAAAGGAAUUGACGGGGACCCGCACAAGCGGUGGAUGAUGUGGAUUAAUUCGAUGCAACGCGAACAACCUUACCUACCUUGACAUGUCCGAGAGCCCGCUGAGAGGUGGGUGUGCCCGAAAGGGAAUC
rnacentral:rRNA from 1 species